UGAAGUCCACCUGCAGCAGUCUCUACCUAAGGUAGUGAAGGCUGGGCCUUCAGUGAAGAUAUCCUGCAAGGCUUCUGGUUACUCAUUCACUGGCUACUACAUGCACUGGGUGAAGCAGAGCCAUGGAAAGAUCCUUCAAAGGAUUGAAUAUGUUAAUCCUUAUAAUGGUGGUACUGGCUACAAUGAAAAGUUCAAGGACAAGGCCACAUUGACUGCAGACAAAUCCUUCAGCACAGCCUAUAUGCAAUUCAGCAGCCUGACAUCUGAGGACUCUCUGGUCUAUUACUGUGCAAGA